UCCUCAGAAUCAGGAUCAGGGCCCCUAAAACUCAGGGGGGGGGGGGUAUUCCCCACUUGACGAUUAUCCAUAAUAAUUUGCUGUCAAAAUUUGAAAUUAUCAUUUCAUCGAAUCAGCUAACCUAUCAAUGCACGUAGCAAGCCUAUGACGAAUCGUGGCCCGUCGCGUCACGCGGCGCCCCCUAUGGACCCCUCGCGUCACGCGAGGGGGUCAAUUUUCAGCUAUAAAUAGCUUGGUUCACAAGCUGUUCGUCUGUGUCAAAACUAAUUCACAAAAGUGAAUUCUGACCACUCAAAAUUCAAAUUUAAGAUAUCGGGGUACUGCUACGAUACCGGGUAUUAACUUGAUCGCUGCUACGAUUCAAUAUCCGAUCGACUGAAACUAUCCAACAGGAUGUUUAAGUGUUAUCCUUUGUCAUUAAUCGUGAUUCCGACAGGAUGUUUGAGUGUCGCCCAAACUCGGGGUGGACUCUGUCAUUCGUUGUGAAUCCGAUGGAUGUUUAAGUGAUUUCAUUUUGUCAUUCGUCGUGAGGGUUUUAGUCUCGUGAAUUUAUCGUAAAUGCUGUAUUAGUUAUUUACCUAGUUUUGUGUGCAUUAUCGCUUAAAUUAGGUUAUCAGGCUUAUCAUUAGACUAAACACUACCCCUUACACUUACAAUCAAAGUAGAUGCUAAUUCUCAAAACAAUCUGAAUCAUGAAGCUUGUCAAUUCAAUACUGCAUGUUUAUAAUGUAAUUACAGUAGAUUGGAGUAAGAAUUGGAUCCGGCACUGAAGGACUUCAAGAAGUGGCUUAUUUUAUUAAUUAAAUCAACUUAAAAAAAUAUUGUUUUUGGGUUUAUCCCGUAUUAAAAGCUACCUUUGUAAAACAUGGAAUUUAUUCCAUCUAUU
rnacentral:lncRNA from 1 species